CUGAACCUCUCCCCCUUUUCUCCUUGUUAUAGGACUCUACCUCCUUCAAACCAAAAAAAAAAAAAAUUAUUAGCUUUGGUAUACUCCGCAGGAAAGGUUAACUCUCUCUGGUUUGUAUAUUAAGGUAAUCAAAGUAAACCAAUCGACAAAACAAUCUUUUUAUUUAGGAUCCGCCGUUUGAUGUGCCCUAAAGCUGGUGAAAGCGACGGUGUUGAUUAGGUCAUGAAUUUAAAGAUAUAUAAUAUUCAUUGAAUUGAAAAAGAAAAAAGAAAAGAAAGAAAAUCAUCAUCCAUUUUGUCCAAAAAGGAAAAAAAAAGUGAUGAGAAUAAAAGUAAUAUUGGCCUAAAAAGACUGAUUUUGCAUAGUAGAAGGUUAAAUAAAAAGACACAAAUACAAAGGAACCUCAUCAUUUCAAUUCCCCCAUUCUUUUGAAAAAAUCAAAGAAAAAAAAUCUAGGAAAAAUAAAACCCACAAAUUUCAAUAGAAUGGAGGGUGACGUGAAGGACCAAAGUCAGUUGCUCGAGGAAGAAAGAAAGAAAGAAAACAAAGAAGGGAAGCAGCCAAAGGGAGCACUCAAUUCAACCAUCUGAAUUCUAAAAUGGGAAGAAACUGAGAAAGAAUGGAUUAGAAGUUGGAAGGGAUGGGCAGCACAAUCUGAGUCAAUCAGUCAAACUUUUUAUAACCCAAUAAACUCAUAUAGUCUAUCAUCCUAGAAAAUUGCCAAACUUCAUUUAUUAUUCAAAUUGCAAAAUACCCUCUUCUUUCUCUCUCUUUGAAUAGGAACAUAUCAACUUUAGAAAGCUGGAAAUUUUGGGGAGAUAACAAACUGAAAAAAGGAAGAAACUGGAAGGGAGUUUGUGAAAAAUUCAUGUCGGGUGGGGGCUAUCAGUUAUGGGGCAUUGGCCCCAACCUUUUUUUUUUUUUUUUCUUUUCUCUAUCAUUAUUUUGUUUUCCUCUUUGAGAGUUUCUUUCCUCCUGUUUUAAUAUAUUUCUUAACUCUUCAAAUUUCUUUAUAAUAAUUUUUUUUCCUUUCUUUUCCUUUCUGCCCAUUAAACAAUGAAAAUGGCGUAUUACCAAUCAUCCUUUCCCCUCUAUAGGAAACACCCAUCAUUUCUCCCAAUAGUACUUUUCAACCUUAGAAACCCGAGCUUCUAAGAUAUUCUCUCCCUUCCAUUCCAUUUUUCCUUUCCUCCAUCCUCCUUCCUAUUAAAAAAAAAUCUUAUUAAUUAAACAUAAAAAAAAUAAAAACAUGAUUAAUCAAUUAUAUAAAUAAUAAUAAUUUAAUGUAAUUUAUUGUAAUUUAUUUAUAUUUAUGAAUAAAAAAAUUUUAUUAGUUAUAAAAAAUUAUAAAUAUAACAACAAAUCAAUUUUAAUUACAAUCACUAUUUAUGAAUCUUUUUAUUUUUUUAUCUCAAUUUCAAUCAAUAUCUAUAAAUUUGAAUUUAUCCAAUAAAAUUUUAUAAUUUUUUAAAAUA
rnacentral:lncRNA from 1 species